rnacentral:lncRNA from 1 species
GGAGAUCCCAGCAUGAGCAGCUCAGCUUUUUGCUACAAAAGUGCAAAGCAAGGAAGUUUUCCUUUGAAAAUUCUCCAUGGGAACCUCUUUGUUAUGGAGAUACCUUUCAAGAGGAAAAGAGUCCUCAGCUCUCCAUCCUCCCCUGGAGCUGCGAGGGAACAGCCAGGGCAGCUCCUCAAAUGAGAACUGGGACAAAAGGAUCCCUUCCCAAGCCUUUCUUCCACAUCCAGAAAUUCCCUGUGAAAUCCCUGUGAAAUCCAGAAAUAAUGGGGAAGGAGAAACCCCUGCAAUCCAGAAAUGCUGGCUGAAAGGAAGGGAAAGGACAGGAAGAAGCGUGAUACACCCUCAUUCCAAAUGGGGAUUCUUUCAUGGUUUGAGGCUGUUGAGAUGGGAAGGCCCUAAAAGAAGCAGAACUCCUGAAUUCCCUGAAUAUUCCCAGCACUUUUAA